rnacentral:lncRNA from 1 species
GCCAAAACAUGCAUGCAUGCAUACAUACAUACAUACAUACAUACAUACAUACAUACAUACAUACAUACUUUCUCCAUUUUGGUUUCCUGAUUGAGAAUGGCACAUGGCGGGAGGGACAGACAGACACAUGGAUGAAUGGUUGGAUGGUAGAAACUUCUGUCAUUUCAGACAGCCUAAAGCAGGUAAAAUGUCACCACGGGGAGGUUGUCCCCAUCCACGGUGUGGGCAGUGGAUUGUAUAGGGCGAGGGCAGGACUACCUGGCACACCGCUGUUAUGGUCUUGGGUGCUUCUCUUGCGAGUGCUGGGGGCAGCCUGCAGCAGAACGGGACAGAGUCCUCACAGGAGUCUUUCCCUACAGGCUCUUCCGGCUACCAAGAUCCUCCCCCACCUUAAGCGG